CAGCCGCCGCGGGAAAACGGAGGGUGCGAGCGUUAAUCGGAAUAACUGGGCGUAAAGGGCACGCAGGCGGUUAUUUAAGUGAGGUGUGAAAGCCCCGGGCUUAACCUGGGAAUUGCAUUUCAGACUGGGUAACUAGAGUACUUUAGGGAGGGGUAGAAUUCCACGUGUAGCGGUGAAAUGCGUAGAGAUGUGGAGGAAUACCGAAGGCGAAGGCAGCCCCUUGGGAAUGUACUGACGCUCAUGUGCGAAAGCGUGGGGAGCAAACAGGAUUAGAUACCCGCGUAGUCCCUGUCUCUUAUAC
rnacentral:rRNA from 1 species